rnacentral:rRNA from 1 species
UUCGGGGUACUCGAGUGGCGAACGGGUGAGUAACACGUGGGUGAUCUGCCCUGCACUUUGGGAUAAGCCUGGGAAACUGGGUCUAAUACCGAAUAUGACCGCNCACUUCCUGGUGUGUGGUGGAAAGCUUUUGCGGUGUGGGAUGGGCCCGCGGCCUAUCAGCUUGUUGGUGGGGUAAUGGCCUACCAAGGCGACGACGGGUAGCCGGCCUGAGAGGGUGACCGGCCACACUGGGACUGAGAUACGGCCCAGACUCCUACGGGAGGCAGCAGUGGGGAAUAUUGCACAAUGGGCGCAAGCCUGAUGCAGCGACGCCGCGUGAGGGAUGACGGCCUUCGGGUUGUAAACCUCUUUCAAUAGGGACGAAGCGCAAGUGACGGUACCUAUAGAAGAAGGACCGGCCAACUACGUGCCAGCAGCCGCGGUAAUACGUAGGGUCCGAGCGUUGUCCGGAAUUACUGGGCGUAAAGAGCUCGUAGGUGGUUUGUCGCGUUGUUCGUGAAAACUCACAGCUUAACUGUGGGCGUGCGGGCGAUACGGGCAGACUAGAGUACUGCAGGGGAGACUGGAAUUCCUGGUGUAGCGGUGGAAUGCGCAGAUAUCAGGAGGAACACCGGUGGCGAAGGCGGGUCUCUGGGCAGUAACUGACGCUGAGGAGCGAAAGCGUGGGGAGCGAACAGGAUUAGAUACCCUGGUAGUCCACGCCGUAAACGGUGGGUACUAGGUGUGGGUUUCCUUCCUUGGGAUCCGUGCCGUAGCUAACGCAUUAAGUACCCCGCCUGGGGAGUACGGCCGCAAGGCUAAAACUCAAAGAAAUUGACGGGGGCCCGCACAAGCGGCGGAGCAUGUGGAUUAAUUCGAUGCAACGCGAAGAACCUUACCUGGGUUUGACAUGCACAGGACGCCAGUAGAGAUAUUGGUUCCCUUGUGGCCUGUGUGCAGGUGGUGCAUGGCUGUCGUCAGCUCGUGUCGUGAGAUGUUGGGUUAAGUCCCGCAACGAGCGCAACCCUUGUCUCAUGUUGCCAGCACGUAAUGGUGGGGACUCGUGAGAGACUGCCGGGGUCAACUCGGAGGAAGGUGGGGAUGACGUCAAGUCAUCAUGCCCCUUAUGUCCAGGGCUUCACACAUGCUACAAUGGCCGGUACAAAGGGCUGCGAUGCCGUGRGGUGGAGCGAAUCCUUUMAAAGCCKGWCUCAGWUCGGRUCGGGRUCUGMAACUCGACCCCGUGAAGYNNNNNACGCUAGUAAUCRCAGAUCAGCAACGCUGCGGUGAAUACGUUCCCGGGCCUUGUACACACCGCCCGWCACGUCAUGAAAGUCGGUAACACCCGAAGCCA